UACGAAGGGGGCUAGCGUUGCUCGGAAUCACUGGGCGUAAAGCGCACGUAGGCGGAUUGCUAAGUCAGGGGUGAAAUCCUGGAGCUCAACUCCAGAACUGCCUUUGAUACUGGCGACCUUGAGUCCGGGAGAGGUGAGUGGAACUGCGAGUGUAGAGGUGAAAUUCGUAGAUAUCGAGAAGAACACCGGUGGCGAAGGCGGCCAACUGGACGGUGACUGACACUGAGACGCGAAAGCGUGGGGAGCAAACAGG
rnacentral:rRNA from 1 species